ACUACGAGGGUAUCUAAUCCUGUUUGCUCCCACGCUUUCGUGCAUGAGCGUCAGUGUUAUCCCAGGCUGCCUUCGCCAUCGGUGUUCCUCCGCAUAUCUACGCAUUUCACUGCUACACGCGGAAUUCCACCUCCCACUCUGACACAUUCUAGCUCGGUAGUUAAAAAUGCAGUUCCAAAGUUAAGCUCUGGGGAUUUCACAUCUUUCUUUCCGAACCGCCUGCGCACGCUUUACGCCCAGUAAUUCCAGUUAACGCUUACGCUACGUAUUACCGCGGCUGCUGGCUACGUGAUUCGCCGGUGCUUAUUCUGCCGGGUACCGUCGGUUAAGAUGUUAUCCGCGCCGUUUCUUUUUCCUGCCGAAGUGCUACAACCCGAAGGCCUUCAUCGCACACGCGGGAUGAAACGGAUCGGGGGAUUCCCCAUUGUCCAAGCCCCACUGCUGCGCCCGUA
rnacentral:misc_RNA from 1 species